rnacentral:rRNA from 1 species
UAAGGAAUAUUGGUCAAUGGACGCAAGUCUGAACCAGCCAUGCCGCGUGAAGGAUGAAGGUCCUCUGGAUUGUAAACUUCUUUUAUCUGGGACGAAAAAAGCUCAUUCUUGAGCACUUGACGGUACCAGAAGAAUAAGCACCGGCUAACUCCGUGCCAGCAGCCGCGGUAAUACGGAGGGUGCAAGCGUUAUCCGGAUUUACUGGGUUUAAAGGGUGCGUAGGUGGAUUUGUAAGUCAGUGGUGAAAUCUCCGAGCUUAACUCGGAAACUGCCAUUGAUACUAUAAGUCUUGAAUUAUCUGGAGGUAAGCGGAAUAUGUCAUGUAGCGGUGAAAUGCUUAGAUAUGACAUAGAACACCAAUUGCGAAGGCAGCUUACUACGGAUUGAUUGACACUGAGUCACGAAAGCGUGGGGAGCAAACA